UACGUAGGGGGCUAGCGUUGUCCGGAAUCAUUGGGCGUAAAGAGCGUGUAGGCGGCCCGGUAAGUCCGCUGUGAAAGUCGGGGGCUCAACCCUCGAAUGCCGGUGGAUACUGUCGGGCUAGAGUGCGGAAGAGGCGAGUGGAAUUCCUGGUGUAGCGGUGAAAUGCGCAGAUAUCAGGAGGAACACCGAUGGCGAAGGCAGCUCACUGGGACGGUACUGACGCUGAGACGCGAAAGCGUGGGGAGCAAACAGG
rnacentral:rRNA from 1 species